GUUACAAAGGACGACAUUAGACGAAUCAUCUGGAAAGAUGAAUCAAAGAAGGUAAUAAUCCUGUAGUCGAAAAUGU
rnacentral:tRNA from 1 species